rnacentral:rRNA from 1 species
AAUCAACGCUGGCGGCGUGCCUCAGACAUGCAAGUCGAACGAUUAAAGCUCUCUUCGGAGAGUGUAUAGAGUGGCGCACGGGUGAGUAACACGUAAGUAAUCUACCCUCGAGUGGGGAAUAACGUCCGGAAACGGACGCUAAUACCGCAUAAUGCAGCGGCACCGCAAGGUGACAGUUGUUAAAGAUUUAUCGCUUGAGGAGGAGCUUGCGGCAGAUUAGCAGUUGGUAAGGUAAUGGCUUACCAAGGCUACGAUCUGUAACCGGUCUAAGAGGACGGUCGGUCACACUGACACUGAAUAACGGGUCAGACUCCUACGGGAGGCAGCAGUCGGGAAUUUUGGGCAAUGGGCGAAAGCCUGACCCAGCAACGCCGCGUGAAGGAUGAAGUAUUUUCGGUAUGUAAACUUCGAAAGAAUGGGAAGAAUCAAUGACGGUACCAUUUAUAAGGUCCGGCUAACUACGUGCCAGCAGCCGCCGCGGUAAC